GACGCAACUUCAACAUGGCGGCCGUCCAGCAGACGAUCGUGAUCGAGACAGCGAGAGUGAGUGGUUCACGGUGGUUCGCGGCGGCACGACAUUGUUUCGCGAUCUUUCUGUAGAAUUUUCGCGUUUGAUAAUUGAACUUUCCAUUGCCGAAAAAAUGGUCGAGGAAGAGAAACUUAAAGGUCUCGCGAGACACUUCAACAGCCAAACCAACUAUGGUCGGGCGAACGUGACGAAGGCGACGUACGUCGGCUUAGGAUUGAUCGGCAUGUACUUCUACUUGAGGUCGAAGAGCAAAAAGACGGAGCAGAAGUAGCUUGUGGACGGGGACCGCAGUUGCAUUAUGUAAUAAACGAUACAUAUGCCGUAUCAUAUUCUUCGAAUAAAUAUAGUCGAAAGAUCCUUUUGUAAAUCUAUCUCAUUCUUGGUGCUCCAGUUGGUAUCUUUACUUAACUGUCUAAUGAUCACAGAUAACUAAUUGCUAAACGUAACAUGUGACAUCUAACAGUUGCACUUGGUUACGAAAAAGUUUCACAUUCGUUGCUUAUUUUACUUAAUUAUCUUAAUAGAAAAAUUAGAUAAAACACAAUGCUGAGAAAGAAAAGAUGCUUAAACUGAGUACAUUUUAAUUCUCAUCGCACAUUUGAAAUAUUUCAAUAUAUAUCACUCUGCUCUUGUAACACUUUGGAAGCUGUGAUCUAUUAAUUUCAUGCCUUGUUUAAUGGUAUUGAAGGGGAUACAGAUAAUUUAGAGGACUCAAGUAAUUGUUGGCAUUAUAAACGUAGAGGCUUUGUAAUCAUUGUUCUCCAUCAUUGGGAUUUCAAUCUUGUAUGGAUUAACAUCUUGUUACAAGGGAUUGAAUGAUUGUAACACAUGCAUUGAUUGUGCGAAUUUAUUUUAUGUACAAUAAAAUUGAUUUAAAACA